AAUAUUGGACAAGGGGCGAAAGCCUGAUCCAGCCAUGCCGCGUUUGUGAAGAAGGUCUUCUGUUUGUAAAGCACUUUAAGUUGAGAGGAAUGGGCUGAAGCUAAUACCUUCAAUCUUUGACGUUACCAACAGAAUAAGCACCUGCUAACUCUGUGCCAGCAGCCGCGGUAAUACAGCUGGUGCAAGCGGUAAUCGGAAUUACUGGGCGUAAAGCGGGAGUAGGUGGUUACGUAAGAUGGAAGUGAAAUCACCGGGCUUAACCUGGGAACUGCUUUCAUAACUGCUGAGCUAGAGUACGGUAGAGGGUAGUGGAAUUUCCUGUGUAGCGGUGAAAUGCGUAGAUAUAGGAAGGAACACCAGUGGCGAAGGCGACUACCUGGACUGAUACUGACACUGAGGUGCGAAAGCGUGGGGAGCAAACAGG
rnacentral:rRNA from 1 species